GUCCAGACUCCUACGGGAGGCAGCAGUGGGGAAUAUUGCACAAUGGGGGAAACCCUGAUGCAGCGACGCCGCGUGAGUGAAGAAGUAUUUCGGUAUGUAAAGCUCUAUCAGCAGGGAAGAAGCAAGACGGUACCUGACUAAGAAGCCCCGGCUAACUACGUGCCAGCAGCCGCGGUAAUACGUAGGGGGCAAGCGUUAUCCGGAUUUACUGGGUGUAAAGGGAGCGUAGACGGCAGUGCAAGUCUGGAGUGAAAGGCGGGGGCUCAACCCCCGGACUGCUCUGGAAACUGUACGGCUGGAGUGCAGGAGAGGUAAGUGGAAUUCCUAGUGUAGCGGUGAAAUGCGUAGAUAUUAGGAGGAACACCAGUGGCGAAGGCGGCUUACUGGACUGUAACUGACGUUGAGGCUCGAAAGCGUGGGGGGCAAACAGGAUUAGAUACCCGGGUAC
rnacentral:rRNA from 1 species